GGGCUUUGUAGCAAUACGGAGUCCUAGUGGCAAACGGGUGCGUAACACGUGGGUGACCUACCUCAAAGUGGGGAACAACAGACCGAAAGGUUUGCUAAUACCGCAUUAGCUUGGCGAUUCAUUUUGCCGAGUAAAGCCGCAAGGCGCUUUGAGAGGGGCCCGCGUCCCAUCAGGUAGUUGGUGAGGUAAUGGCCCACCAAGCCAAAGACGGGUAGCUGGUCUGAGAGGACGACCAGCCACACGGGGACUGAGAGACGGCCCCGAGCUCCUACGGGAGGCAGCAGUGGGAUCUNGG
rnacentral:misc_RNA from 1 species